UUGAGUUAGUGGCGGACGGGUGAGUAACGCGUGGAAAACCUGCCGUAUACUGGGGGAUAACACUUAGAAAUAGGUGCUAAUACCGCAUAAGCGCACAGGGCCGCAUGGCCCGGUGUGAAAAACUCCGGUGGUGUAAGAUGGACCCGCGUCUGAUUAGCUUGUUGGCGGGGUAGGGGCCCACCAAGGCGACGAUCAGUAGCCGGCCUGAGAGGGUGGACGGCCACAUUGGGACUGAGACACGGCCCAAACUCCUACGGGAGGCAGCAG
rnacentral:rRNA from 1 species